rnacentral:rRNA from 1 species
UACGGAGGUUGCGAGCGUUGUCCGGAAUCAUUGGGCGUAAAGGGCGCGUAGGUGGCCUGGUCAGCGUGCGGUGAAAGCUCGGGGCUCAACCCCGAGUCGGCCGUGCGAACUGCUGGGCUUGAGCACUGUAGAGGCAGGCGGAAUUCCGGGUGUAGCGGUGGAAUGCGUAGAGAUCCGGAAGAACACCGGUGGCGAAGGCGGCCUGCUGGGCAGUAGCUGACACUGAGGCGCGACAGCGUGGGGAGCAAACAGG